UCUGCCUGGUAGUGGGGGACGAACGUUUCGAAAGGAACGCUAAUACCGCAUACGUCCUACGGGAGAAAGCAGGGACCUUCGGGCCUUGCGCUAUCAGAUGAGCCUAGGUCGGAUUAGCUAGUUGGUGAGGUAAUGGCUCACCAAGGCGACGAUCCGUAACUGGUCUGAGAGGAUGAUCAGUCACACUGGAACUGAGACACGGUCCAGACUCCUACGGGAGGCAGCAGUA
rnacentral:rRNA from 1 species